UAUGAUGCAAACAGGGCUUGCUAGGA
rnacentral:piRNA from 1 species